rnacentral:rRNA from 1 species
UACGGGGGGUGCGAGCGUUGUCCGGAUUCACUGGGCGUAAAGGGCGCGUAGGCGGCCGCAUCAGUCGGACCUAUAAGUGCGGGGCUCAACCCCGUGAUGGGUUCGGGACGGUGUGGCUGGGGCGCGGCAGAGGGAGACGGAAUGCCGGGUGUAGUGGUGAAAUGCGUAGAGAUCCGGCGGAACACCGGUGGUGAAGACGGUCUCCUGGGCCGAGGGCCGACGCUGAGGCGCGAGAGCGUGGGGAGCGAACCGG